rnacentral:rRNA from 1 species
UACGGGGGGGGCAAGCGUUGUUCGGAAUUACUGGGCGUAAAGGGCUCGUAGGUGGUCAACUAAGUCGGACGUGAAAUCCCUCGGCUUAACCGGGGAACUGCGUCUGAUACUGGAUGGCUUGAGAUUGGGAGAGGGAUGCGGAAUUCCAGGUGUAGCGGUGAAAUGCGUAGAUAUCGAGAGGAACACCAGUGGCGAAGGCGAGUCCCUGGAAAACACCUGACACUGAGGCACGAAAGCUAGGGGAGCAAACAGG